CUGGUGUGAAGGAUAACCUCCAGCUGUCUAGCAGUCCCGUCCUGUUUAUUAUCACAAAACCUUCAAUGUAAUCAAAUUUGUCAUCAUCUGACGAAAUCAGCCGCUCUUGGUCCCUCGCAAAUGCUGCAAAAUCCAGGCUUUUGACUCGGAUGAAAUGCAAAAGGAUUGGUCUGUGAGAAAAAAGAAUGGCAUAUCACUGAAGUGAUGGGGGGUCAGGCAGAGGUGGAACGAGAGAAAUCCUUGUGGGAAAAUAAGGAGGCAAUUUCAGUCAUGAUGGGACCCGACAACACAAUCUGUGUAAGGCAAAAAACUGAACGACAGCACAAAGCAAAGCAACCAAUGAGUGGAUAACAUAGAGGGACUCGGCGCUUCCUCAGACAGAAUCAUCUUUAGGCUACGCUAUCGCCACCGAGAUCGUUAUAAUAGGUAGUAACCAUAAAGGUUUAAUCUUUUGGAAGGAUUAAAACAGGAAAAGAGAGAGACAUAGACUGGUGACAAAAAGUGGCCUAGUCAAGAAUAUUUGACCAAUCCAUUUUUAAAACAGUGAAGAAAGAAGUUGGGCUCUUGUCAACUAACUUAUGUGGUGGUGGGCAUAUGGUGUGAACUGAAAACGGAGUUGGUGGAAAUGGUUGGUCUCUAGAAGGAGAAGCGACCAGAGAGCACUACCGAGAGGGGUCGUGGGGCACAGCUUGUCCCAAAGCAAUCUUGGUCCUAAUAUAUAAUAUAAAUAAGCCUUUGAACAUUUGUCAGCCAAAGGGUCGAAGGGACGGCUGUGGUAGUGUGUGUGUGAUUGAAGUGGACUGGUCCACGCAGACUGUGACACCUCUGCUGACAAAUCAGCUUAAACUCUUAUUGGUGCUUCCUUCCAUCUUCACGUGGCUUUGUUCCCAUUAACAUUUAUUUUUCUGCCAAAAACAAAUUAAGAAAAGUAUGUGUGUGUGUCUUUCCACCGUUUAUAAAAUAUCAUCGUUAUUGUGAGUAUAUGAUUUUGUUUUGUCAUAUAGUAGGAGGAUAUGUGUCUUAC